CACGCCGUAAACGUUGGGCACUAGGUGUGGGUCUCAACCAACGAGAUCCGUGCCGCAGCUAACGCAUUAAGUGCCCCGCCUGGGGAGUACGGCCGCAAGGCUAAAACUCAAAGGAAUUGACGGGGGCCCGCACAAGCGGCGGAGCAUGUUGCUUAAUUCGAGGCAACGCGAAGAACCUUACCUGGGUUUGACAUUCUGGGAAAAGCCGUAGAGAUACGGUGUCCGAAAGGGUCCAGAACAGGUGG
rnacentral:rRNA from 1 species